UGGGGAAUAUUGCACAAUGGGCGCAAGCCUGAUGCAGCCAUGCCGCGUGUGUGAAGAAGGCCUUCGGGUUGUAAAGCACUUUCAGCGAGGAGGAAGGUGGUGAGCUUAAUACGCUCAUCAAUUGACGUUACUCGCAGAAGAAGCACCGGCUAACUCCGUGCCAGCAGCCGCGGUAAUACGGAGGGUGCAAGCGUUAAUCGGAAUUACUGGGCGUAAAGCGCACGCAGGCGGUUUGUUAAGUCAGAUGUGAAAUCCCCCGGGCUCAACCUGGGAACUGCAUUUGAAACUGGCAAGCUAGAGUCUCGUAGAGGGGGGUAGAAUUCCAGGUGUAGCGGUGAAAUGCGUAGAGAUCUGGAGGAAUACCGGUGGCGAAGGCGGCCCCCCUGGACGAAGACUGACGCUCAGGUGCGAAAGCGUGGGGCAGCAAACAGGAUUAGAUACCCUGGUAGUCCAGCGCUGUAAACGAUGUCGAUUUGGAGGUUGUGCCCUUGAGGCGUGGCUUCCGGAGCUAACGCGUUAAAUCGACCGCCUGGGGAGUACGGCCGCAAGGUUAAAACUCAAAUGAAUUGAC
rnacentral:rRNA from 1 species